UUUAUCUACAUGCAAGGAGUUAUUUCAAGCAAUUGUAAAGUGUGCUAUCAAUCUGUGCUCAAUGUUCACAUCACCAGCUGGGUCUCUUUUACUUUUAAUAUGGAUCCUAACUCUAAAACAUCCUUACUUAUUCCAGAUUUAUCUUGAAUUUUUCUCCUUACAAGAUAUGUACUUUUCUACUCUCCAAGGAUCCUGGUUCUUCUUGGAGAUCAAGAUUUGAGUGCUUAGAGUUGGUGAUUGGCAGGAUGCAGCUGACACUGUUGGGCCGCUUUCAGAAAUGAUAGCAUUCCAGAAAAAGCCAUGACCUCAACCUGAUAUUUCCAAUGAGAUCUUUCAUGCUGUUAUACCUUCUUUAUCCAUGAUUCAAUCAAUGAAUCAAUGAGCUGACUGGAGUUCCAGUGGCCACUAAGAUUUCCUAUCAUAUUGACAGCCUUAUUUAAUUUCUAUGACAAUUCUCUGAAAUAGACAUUGUUAUUCUAUUUGAAGAUGAUUGAAAGGGAAGAUCUUUAAAUACCUUGUCUAAGGCCAGAGAAGCAAAAGACUGGACAGAACUGGAUGCUAGCUUGUGAGUUUCCAAGUCAUGCUGUGUCCACUUUCUUCUAGCAAACUCUAGAAGCAGGUGAUGGAUUCAAAACACUUAUCAUAAGACAUGACUCCCUCUUUUGAAAUGUACCGGAUGGGUGGCGGAGUAUAUUAGGUUUCUCUGUUCCAACCAGCCUUCCUCUACACUGAAUGUGAGAAAUACCACACCUACACUCAACUUCCUUCUCAUUUCCUGAGCUGGUUUUUGUCCUAGUUUACACCUUCCUAGGAGAAGGUAGGCCAUUGUAUUAAGGGUUGGAAGGACUUUCCUGAGAGUGGUGUCUGAGUGUGCAGAUAAAACUCCAAACCUUCCUUCCUGUGAGCUGAGGCAGUGUUCAGAUAAUUGUAAAACAACAGUUGGCUUUUCCAGAUCUAUUGGAUUAAAUGCUAAGCCUUGCUACAUAUCGUUGACAAGAGCUGCUAUAUCUGUUAUGAUGAAUCCUUGGCUAUGCGACCUGAACCUUGAACCCAGAAAAUAAGUCCAAAAUUGGCCAGCAUCAUACAGAAAUUUAUAUGUUAUCCUUGUUUUAUUAAGAGACCCAAAGUGCUACUUUGUUUUGGUGUCUU
rnacentral:lncRNA from 1 species